GACGAACGCUGGCGGCGGGCUUAACACAUGCAAGUCGAACGGUGAAGCGCCUUUCGCUUUGGUGGGUGUGGACGAGCGGCGAACUGGUGAGUAAGACGUUAGUAACCUGCCCCCUUCUUCUGGAUAACCGCAUGAAUGUUUCGCUAAUACGGGAUAUUCUGGGUCUGUCGCAUGAUGGGUCUGGGAGAGAUAAUGUUUCGGUGGGGGAUGGGCGCGCGGCAUAUCAGCUUGUUGGUGCGGUGAUGGCGUACCAAGGCGGUGACGGGUAGACGGCCUGAGAGGGUGGACGGUAACAGUGAGAAUGAGACACGGCCCAGACUGCUACGGGAGGCAGCAGUGGGGAAUAAUGCACAAUGGGGGCACGACUGAUGCCGCGACGCGGCGUGGGAGAUGGAGGCCUUAGGGUUGUGAACCUCUUUCGCGAGGGAAGCGGGCUAGGCUCGUUUGUGGGUGGAUUGACGGUACCUGGAGAAGAAGCGCCGGCUAACUACGUG
rnacentral:rRNA from 1 species